GACGAACGCUGGCGGCGUGCUUAACACAUGCAAGUCGAACGAUGAAGCGGUGCUUGCACCGUGGAUUAGUGGCGAACGGGUGAGUAAUACGUGAGUGACCUACCUUUGACUCUGGGAUAAGCCUGGGAAACUGGGUCUAAUACCGGAUACGACCAAUCUCUGCAUGGGGUGUUGGUGGAAAGCGUUAUGGAGUGGUUUUAGAUGGGCUCACGGCCUAUCAGCUUGUUGGUGAGGUAAUGGCUUACCAAGGCGACGACGGGUAGCCGGCCUGAGAGGGUGACCGGCCAAACUGGGACUGAGACACGGCCCAGACUCCUACGGGAGGCAGCAGUGGGGAAUAUUGCACAAUGGGCGCAAGCCUGAUGCAGCGACGCCGCGUGAGGGAUGACGGCCUUCGGGUUGUAAACCUCUGUUAGCAUCGAAGAAGCGAAAGUGACGGUAGGUGCAGAGAAAGCGCCGGCUAACUACGUG
rnacentral:rRNA from 1 species